AUGCUGCUCUUCCAACUGAGCGCCGCUGAAAGGUGCACCAUCUUCGACAACUUCCUCGCCGACCCCAGGUACGCCUUUGCAGGCUUCUCCAUCGACGGCGACAAAACUAGGCUAGAGCGCGUCAAUCUGGAGGUCGCCAACUUCGUCGACAUUCAGAAGGAGUGGAGGGUGCCCGAGGCAACCAAUGAGUUGGACUCCCUCAGAGACGUCUCCGGCAUGCUCAUCGAUGAGUACUACAACAACAUGAAGAAGAAGAUCACCGACGACGAACACAAGCGCUGGGCCACCCUGCCUCUGUCCAUGAGGCACAUCGAGUACGCGACAAAGGAUGCCUAUGCAGCGAUGGCACCAGUAGCGGACACAUGCGUGUACGCAGAAGGUCUAGAGCUCACCAACACCAAGUGGCGCAGCAUGCUCGGGUGCCUGAUAUAUACCCAACAGGGGGUUUCGGGCGGCAUUUCUUCAUCGCCUCACAACCCUAGAUCUGCAGGAAAGUUGGAAACUUCCAUCCACAAUAAAAUUUCCUGCUCCAAGUUCAGGGAAGGUUACUUUGGAGACACAACACAAGAAUGGGUAUGCAGACAUGCAAGCUGA
rnacentral:rRNA from 1 species